rnacentral:tRNA from 1 species
GGAGGAGGAACUCUGUGGUAGAGUGCUUGCUUUUCAUGUAAGAGGCCCUGGGUUCCAUCCCCAGCAGCUCCU